rnacentral:lncRNA from 1 species
UAGAACACUGUUUUAAUUUCUUUUUUUGGGGGGGAGGGGGGGUGGUGCUAGAGACUGGAAACCCAGGACCUUGCAUAUGCCAAGCAAGUGCUCUGUACUGAGCUAUACUUCCAUCCAGGUUGAAUGGCUUUUUAAACUUUUAAAGUGCAAUAUGUACCAUUUUUCCCUUGAAAACAAAGUAAAGGUGUUUGCCCAGCUGUUGUGAACAUGGAGGUGAAUGUUCCCAGUCCUGGGACACCUUCUCCUUUGACUGCACUCACUUGGGCUACGCAGGAGCCACCUGCCAUUCCUGCCCUUUCUGCCCAUAAGAACAUGCUUGUACUUAGUGCAGCACAAUGGCUGCCACCUGGCCAGAAUCAAAAGCUCUCAUGGAGAAAACUCCAGCCUGUGAUUUUUAAGAACGUGGUCAGCAUGGACCAACUAAUUGACUAG